UACGUAGGGUGCAAGCGUUGUCCGGAAUUAUUGGGCGUAAAGAGCUCGUAGGCGGUUUGUCGCGUCUGCUGUGAAAACACGGGGCUCAACUCCGUGCCUGCAGUCGAUACGGGCAGACUAGAGUUCGGUAGGGGAGACUGGAAUUCCUGGUGUAGCGGUGAAAUGCGCAGAUAUCAGGAGGAACACCGGUGGCGAAGGCGGGUCUCUGGGCCGAAACUGACGCUGAGGAGCGAAAGCGUGGGGAGCGAACAGG
rnacentral:rRNA from 1 species